UACGUAGGCGCAAGCGUUGUCCGGAAUUAUUGGGUACGUAAGAGCUCGUUAGGCGGUUUGUCGGCGUUCUGCUGUGAAAACCUGAAGGCUCAACCUUGGGCUUGCAGUGGGUACGGGCAGACGUAGAGUGCGGGUAGGGGUGACUGGAAUUCCUGGUGGUAAGCGGUGGAAUGCGCAGAUAAUCAGGAUGGAACAACCCGAUGGCGAAGGCAGGUCCACUGGGCCGCAACUGACGUCUGAGGAGCGAAAAGCGUGGGGUAGCAAACAGG
rnacentral:rRNA from 1 species